rnacentral:tRNA from 1 species
AGCCCUGCAGUGACGGUCAUGUCAGAUUGCAAGUCUGAAGGAGUAGGCUAAGGACCUACCGGGGCUU